rnacentral:piRNA from 1 species
CACACUUUUUUUAAGCUGUAGAUCAAAGAAA